CAGAUACACUUCAACUCGGUUUCAGACUCCGCAGAGCCGCAGACGCGCUUACAUCGAUCGGUUUCGCCUAAUAAAGCGACCGCGAUCGCCACGCUAAUUAAAAUAAUUGAAAUUUCUCACGGGAAACGCGCAUCGCGACACUUGCAGGGCAUCCUAUGUCCACUCUAUAUAUCCCCAUACCCCAUUCGCCAUCCCAAUGCCAUUCUACUUCCCCAUCCUCUGCGAUAUCCGUUGCUAGUGCGGCUAAUUGCAAAUUGCAACAUGGACAUGUGGACAUGUCCAACAAUCGAAUUGACAGCUGCUUUACCCCUGGCACAUUUGAUGGACAUUAACAUGGAUCAUCGUCCGUUGUCCCAUUCGUGCUCCUCCACUCGCUGGCGCUGGCAAGGAUUCCAGCAUAAAUGCAUAAAUUUCAUUAGUCGCUGACAGGACGGUGCCAGCUAGUGUUGAGUCCCUAAAUUAAGUGGACGGGUCAACUGAGUUAUUCCAAGCUCUGAUUGAGACCGUUAACCCAUUGUUGGCCAUAUUCCUGGGCAUACUUAUGUAUUUAAUGUAUUGAUACUUUUAUUUAAUAUUUAAAAUGACACUAUUCAUAUCAGUAAAAGAUCAGUUAGAAUCAGGUUGGUUUAAGGGGAAGCUUAGUUUUUCUCCAUAUCCUGUGAUAAUAUCCUGUGAUGAUAUUCUGAUAAAAAAAUAACAAAUUUCCAAAAUUUGUACAUCAAAAGCACAAUUUUCUGUUUCUUCCAUUGGAAAUAGUAAAUUCAUAGUAAAAUAUUAAUAAAAGUAUUCUUAAUAAUCUUUUUGAUUUUUUUCGAAAGAAAUGAUGAACAUAAUAAUAACAUAAUAUUAUUAUUAACCAAUUGUAAAGGCAGAAUCGUAAGAGAAAUAUUGUUUAAAUAGGCUUCAAGGAUUUUCCAACUUCAUUGCGAUUUUACUGAAACCAAAUCUCUUUAGUUCCCUCAGAAAAUGGGUUAAUGGUGCCACAGGAAAUGGCGACCACAAAUAAAAGUAACUAAACGCAGAGUUCCACAAAAUAUUGUUGCCUGCGAUCGUGGAUCGUGGCAUGCGCACUCUGAUCGAGAUCGCAGCGACAGAUAGCGGAGCAAAGUUACGAUCAUACAUAUGCAUAUAGAGUGGGGCCUCGAUGCCCCAAAGAACCCCACCACCUUCUCCAUAUCCUCGCCUUUGGGGCCGUAAAGUUGUCGAAAAUGAUUUGCAGAUCAAGAUUUGUGCGCACAAUUUAUGUGAUAACCCACUAAGAGCAGUGGAGUAAGACAAAAAAAAAAGUUGCAAUACCAAUGGUCCAGAUCGGUCCACUCUCCCUGACCAUGUCCUGCUCCUUCCGAUCCUCCUACAGCGUCCAAUUAGUGCGUAGACUCCAGUUUCAUUCGAAAUUCAUGGACAAUUGUUAGUGCCUCCGUGUAGCCGCUAAUAAUGACGCCUUUAAAUGUGCAAUAACAAUUUUUGAGGCGCGCAAAAAGUGACUACUAUAUAUAUUCUCAUAUAUAUAUAUAUAUAUUAUACACUGCAUUCGUGUGCGUGAGCUUAAGUACCGCCCAUAGGCCAGCAAACCAGCUACUGCUGCAGUGACUCCCCCUCAAAAGCCCCCCAACUUCGCGUUCCAGACGAUCUACAAAAAAGUUGCUCAUGAGCUACGUGAGUUUUUUACUGAUCAGCUAGCCGAGAGCAGAAGAUUGACUUUGAUCUGUUGGUGGUAAUGGGUAAUGGGUAAUGGAUAAUGGGCCAGCCUGAGUGCACUUUUCACUUAGCCUGGCCAAUUGGCAUCCCAAAUAUGACUCAUAAAGUGUGGUAUCUACAAAGUUGCUUAAGUCACGUUACGUAUACGCACCGUGUGCCCACAAACAUCUCAGCGGAAUUCAAUGAUAAUAUGAUAAUGAGCACGUUGAUAGAUUGCCUUGACAUUUUAUCAUCGACUCAACUUUAAAUGGAGCUGUUAAGGGGAGAACUUCAUUUACUCGUGAUUUUGUUAGCAGAUUGCCAAAUUAGGUGAAAAUCCGUGCAACAACUAUGCAAUGUAAUGCAGUGGGUGGAGUAAACAUUGGUUGUCAUGAGAAUCACACCACCCACGACUUUUAUCAAUAUCUGCGAUAAUGAUGGAUCCCAAUGGAAAUUUCUUUGUUUGUUGCUCACAUUAAUGGGAAUGUAGUUGAGUCAUUGAUUAAACUUUCCACAGUUGCUAAACAGAAAAAAAGUACAAGAAUAUGUGACAUAAAGUUACUUCUACUUUAAAUAAUACCAUGUUUAUAAUUGAAAAGGUAUAUAAAUUUGUAUAAAAUUGUUGUAACCUUUUCUACGCCCUGAAGGAUUUAUAACCCUGCUCCAGUCAAAUGAACUGUCAAUCUUGCGGUCGUAAUCAUUAAUCAAUUUAAUGCACUGCGUUUGGCUGAUUAAAAUUGGGUGCAUGUCCGCCUUCAGUCAACCAAAUUAAGCCCUUGGGAGUGGCCCCAGCCGCCCAAUUGAAAUGCCAACUCAUGUCCGGGGACAUGGGAUUUGGAGUUGGACCACAAGCUUGGAGGUUGGAGCUGAAAAGCCAAGACCGCCCGGUCGACAGGCGAACAAAGUGUGUGUCAGUUGCAGUCAAGUGGAGCCAUAAAGCUCCACGAUCCCACAGAUCGACGGUGGCGAUGUCAGCUACUGGCGAUCAGUCACCGGCGAACGGGAAUUGGAUUGGGAUUUGGAUUUGGAUAUGGAUAUGGAUGUGGUUUUGGAUUCGGUUGUGGGCGGUUUUCGCUUUUGGAUUUAUGGCCUGCCCAACGUCAGCCUAAUGAGCAGCCUGCAUCCAUAAUGCCGGCCCAAAGAGACAUUGAGCAUUGGAAAAAUACAGUAAAAAAAUAUAUGGGUAAAAUAGAAAAAGAAAAAAGUCAAUUGGAUUAGAUUAGACGGCGCAGCUGUCGUGACAGGUUGAGCGCUGAGUUUGGAGCUAAGAGCUGGGAGCUUGGAGCUUGGAGUUUGGGAAACGGGCACGAAUGAGAAUUUAUGGCCAAUGCCAGCCGAGCUGGAUCUUGGCCAGAUUUAGAGCUCUGGCUGCGUGCAGGGAACGCAAUAUGUUAUAAUGACUUCAUUACAUACAAAAAAUAAGCAACAGGAGUCGCAACGUAACGCUGGCUGGAAAAUUGCAAUAAAAAACGCGGCUUUAUUUUGACUUUUUCCCUGCCAAAUUUGGCCGCCUUGAUUCGUCGCAUAAUUGGCAAUUAUCGUGGCAGAUCGAAACGUGGGCGAUAUCCCCCAUUUCAAUAGCUAUUUUUUUUGUGUGUGGGUUUAUCUUUUGCUGCUUUUUCCUCGAUAUAGGUGGCACGCAAUCCCUGCGGGUUGUCUUUGUAUCUGUCAGGAUUUAUGCACUAAUGCACUUCAUUUCGGCUCAUUGUUUAUUGUGGCUGUGGGCAUGGUCAGGUGCGGUUAGCGGCCAUUUAUUAAUUGCAAAAACCAUUCACUUUGCCUCCAGUUGCGCCGAUUUAGCCUUAGGCCUCCAAGUGAAUGGGACCGAAAAAAAGAAAAAACAAACAUAGAGGAGAAACAAAAAUACAGCCAAACUCCUGCACGCACAUUUGCAUUUUGUGGCUGAAAUUAGCGUCUAAUUGGAGUUUACACGCUGCAUAUUUUAUUCGCAAAUAAAUUGUGUUUUUGCAGCGCCCGCUUUUUGGGGAUUCGAUUCGAUUUGAUUUGAUUUGAUUUUUCUAUUUGCUGCUUUUUGCCUUUGCCAAUUGCCAUUUGCCGAAUUUGUCAGCGUUUCUCGCUCUCUCAAUCUGAAUAGGCCCCAAGUCAAGUGCUGCGGGCCAUUCACCACGCACCAAUAUUAUUAAAUCACAGCGCAAACACCUGCAAUGGCUGCUCGACUUUGGCCUAUGCGGCGUAUGCGUGAUUUAUAAUUGCGAGCCACUAACACCAAUGCGUCGCACACACUCGCGUGCAUUUGAACACACUCAGACACACACGCACACACACACACAUACACCGGCACAGGUGCACGCAGGUAGGCGUGUUCAUUAGACGGCCUUAAAAACGCACACACUCCAAAAUGGCGACCAUAUCGCCAUCGUGCCUCACAGCCAACUUAUAAAUUGAGCAACCAAGAGCCAAUCUCGCAAGUGACACAAAUCGCACGGGGCGCAGGUGGCGAUCGCCCAGAUUCAUUCGAUGAGAUCACCACAAGUUCCCAGGAGCCCAAUCGGAUCCGCAUUCCAUUUGAACCUUAUUGAAUGAUAACCUUAAAUAGGUAAAAAAAAAAUGAUUUUGAUCUAGCCUAAAUCUACUAUAAAAGUUAUCAAGAUAAAGAUUAGCAAGAGUAUGUAAAAAGUAUAUAGAACUGCCUUUGAAGAUCUUCAAUUUCGUGAUAUACAACCGAAAUUCAACGCAAGAGACUAGUUAGUUUGAACUUUUUUUUAUUUAAAUGUAGAUUGGUUAGCACAUAAAAUACAUCCAAUUCUUAGCCAUUCUCUUCGCUGUUCUGGAAGAUAUACUAUUUAAAGUUUCAAUAUUAAAAUUUUGCAUUUGCAUUUGCAUUUGCAUUUUGUUUGCUAAGUAUCUAGCUGAAAUCUAGAAUCUGAGUCGGUUUCAUGAGAGCACCACAGUUAUUUGUGAAAUUCAAACUCAGCUACGAGAUACUUUUAUGGAAUUCGCACCUGCACAAUGUGGAUGUAUUUCAGAGAUCUUCCCCAGAAAUCGGAUGCAUGGCAUGUCGCCAGCAGAUGGAAGCAUCUUAAGCAUCUCCAGUUACUGCUGCUCCUGCUCCGUUUUCAGCGUGUUGAACAAGUGCUUGGGAUUCGGUGUGAAGUGAAGUGGAGUGCAUUGGAGUUAUCUCUGAGCUGUGCUUUCGGUGGCUUCGGUGGCUUCAGUUCCACUGGCGAGUGACAGGCGGUGGCUACCAGCGGGCAGCUGGAAAUUCGAUACGCCAUUUGCUGCUCCGACUAAUCCCGACGCGAUUCGGGAUGCACUGCCCACUCUGGGCUGGCAUUUUCCAAUUAACUUCGCAUUAGCCACCGCCCAAAGAUGGGUUCCACGCAAAUAUUCAUAUUCCACUGCUGCCGGCUGUCAGUCGGAGCCAUGUAACGUCAUCCGGGAACAUGACAGACGCGGUCUAAUCCCGCAUCCACGGCCAUAUCCGCGCCAGCGUUUGGCCAGCAAAAUUAUUAACGCCAUUAACGGCAAUAGAAAUAUUUGUGCAGGCCACUCGAAGACGCCCAGCCCCCCAACCACCCCGCUUAAUAAUAUCCAAACGAGUUCCACGGAGGAAGGAGGAGAAAAUUACAAGUCAUGGCUACAAGCGCCUGCGACUGUGGCCCACAAAUGUGACUAAUGGCAUUUCUGAAUGCAGAUUCAGCCGGGGGAUAUUCGAUGGUCCCCAAGGGGGGCGGUGCAGCCAACUCCUUUGCAGUUCUUUAAGUUUAUAGGCAACAAUUUUUAACGCCUUGCCAGCGUGACCAAGGCUACACUGCCACAAAACUAUGGAAUUUGCAAAGUUGUAGAAAAUGCAGAUAUUUAUGGAUAUGUUCUUAGGUGACCAAUCAAAAUAUUCCACUUCUUUAUCCUUUAAAACUCAUUAAACAUACUUAAAUUCACAUAUUUAUUAAUAUCAGAUCAAUUAGUUUCUCCCAGUGCAGCGGAUUCCGUGUGCGUGUGCUUUUCUGCAGCGUCAUUAAUUUUGCCAUGAAUUGACAAAAACAUCAUAAACUACUUGUUGAACAGAAAAUCCACUUCGGGCGACAGCAUCCCAGCAUCUCGGCAAUCCAGCCCACGCGCCAAUGGAGCCAAUAUAUAGGCCGGCGUAGCCAGAGAUCGGGAGUUGGGUGUUGGAACUUGGGAUGGAUUUGGGAGGUGGAGAUGCAAGAUGGAAGAUGCGAGAUUGGAGACUGUUGCCGCCCGGCAGGCUCAUGUUCGACGCUCCGUCUGUGGGGAGCGGCUGGCUCAUAAAUAUGCCAAUGACUUGGCCCCCAUCCGCUGAUCCCCCCUCCGAUCUUCACCAAGUGACCUGCAGCUGGAGGGCUUAUGCCAAAUUAAUGAGUCCAAAGAAUGCAAUCUCCGCCAGAUCAUCGUGCUGUGAUUCAGUGAAGGAGUGGCACAGAUUGCGGUAGUAAAUUGGGCAAACCUAUAAAUGUAACUUAUAGUCUUACUUACAAAUAAGUAUCCUUACCAUAAGAACGCUAUUUAAGUAAAGACCAGACUGCCUUAAAGAAACUCAUCAAUGAAAUCCAUAACAUAUAACAUAUAAACAUAAAAACGAGAACCGUUUGAGAUUACCUAUCUAUAACAUAACUUUUUAUAUCUCGAUCUAUUAGAUUUAAGAUGCAUCUUCACUGUUUUAUAGCAGUUGAUUGGAAAUAUUAGCGCUAUUUUAACGAGACUUUAUUCGCUUUGCACAAAAUAAACCAUUAAAAACAAACACUCAAAUUAAUGUGCUCUAAUUUGCAUAACUCGAGGAUCCAGAUGAUGACC
rnacentral:lncRNA from 1 species